GACGAACGCUGGCGGCGUGCCUAACACAUGCAAGUCGAGCGGGGACUGCGAAUGAGCUUCGGCAGAAUGAAACAGUUUCUAGCGGCGGACGGGUGAGUAACGCGUGAGCAACCUGCCUAUCACUGGGGAAUAACGCAUCGAAAGGUGUGCUAAUACCGCAUGAGACCACAAUGUCGCAUGACGAAGGGGUCAAAGAUUUAUUGGUGAUAGAUGGGCUCGCGUCUGAUUAGCUAGUUGGUGAGGUAACGGCCCACCAAGGCGACGAUCAGUAGCCGACCUGAGAGGGUGAUCGGCCACAUUGGAACUGAGAAACGGUCCAA
rnacentral:rRNA from 1 species